rnacentral:tRNA from 1 species
CAAAAAAUAGUUUAAUAAAAAUAAUAAUUUUGGAGAUUAUAGAUAAAGAAAUUUCUUUUUUUUUGA